GUGGGAUUAGUAUAGUGGUUAGUACGCCUCGUUGUGGCCGAGGAGACCCGAGCUCGAUUCUCGGAUUCCACA